rnacentral:rRNA from 1 species
GUGGGGAAUUUUGGACAAUGGGCGCAAGCCUGAUCCAGCAAUGCCGCGUGUGUGAAGAAGGCCUUCGGGUUGUAAAGCACUUUUGGCAGGAAAGAAAUAGUGCGUGCUAAUACCAUGCGCGAAUGACGGUACCUGCAGAAUAAGCACCGGCUAACUACGUGCCAGCAGCCGCGGUAAGACGUAGGGUGCAAGCGUUAAUCGGAAUUACUGGGCGUAAAGCGUGCGCAGGCGGUUUUGUAAGACAGGUGUGAAAUCCCCGGGCUCAACCUGGGAACUGCGCUUGUGACUGCAAUGCUAGGGUGUGUCAGAGGGAGGUGGAAUUCCGCGUGUAGCAGUGAAAUGCGUAGAGAUGCGGAGGAACACCGAUGGCGAAGGCAGCCUCCUGGGAUAACACUGACGCUCAGGCACGAAAGCGUGGGGAGCAAACAGGAUUAGAUACCCCAGUAGUCC